UUCUGUGUGAGAGAGCUCUCUUCAGUCCACUCUCAGAUGGUUGUAGGGUUUAAUUAGCUGCCGAUUCAUUCAUUCACCUACCAAGAACCAAGGCGGAGCGCAUGUCUUGGUAGCUGACUGGAUGACGCGGGAGCUAAUAUUUAGCUCCACGUUGUUUGUGGUUGGACUGAAGGGUGCUCCCUUGCUCGCAGUU
rfam:Triticum aestivum genome assembly, contig: Triticum_aestivum_CS42_TGACv1_scaffold_222928_3B